rnacentral:rRNA from 1 species
GCCAGACUCCUACGGGAGGCAGCAGUGGGGAAUAUUGCACAAUGGGGGAAACCCUGAUGCAGCGACGCCGCGUGAGCGAAGAAGUAUUUCGGUAUGUAAAGCUCUAUCAGCAGGGAAGAAAAUGACGGUACCUGAGUAAGAAGCUCCGGCUAAAUACGUGCCAGCAGCCGCGGUAAUACGUAUGGAGCAAGCGUUAUCCGGAUUUACUGGGCGUAAAGGGAGCGUAGACGGCCUGCCAAGUCAGAAGUGAAAGCCCGGGGCUCAACUCCGGGACUGCUUUUGAAACUGUGUAACUGGAGUGCAGGAGAGGUAAGCGGAAUUCCUGGUGUAGCGGUGAAAUGCGUAGAUAUCAGGAGGAACACCAGUGGCGAAGGCGGCUUACUGGACUGUAACUGACGUUGAGGCUCGAAAGCGUGGGGAGCAAACAGGAUUAGAUACCCUGGUA